CUUCCAGGAAGAGCUUUCCUGCCCGGCACUCUGCAGUGCCUCCUCCCACCCCAACGUCUGUCUCAAGGGAAGGGAAAUCCCAGAGAAACUUCCCAUCGGCACCUCCCCUUCCCACCUCCUCCCUGGGCACGCGCCAGCCUCGCCCAGCUGCCUGCAGUCCAGAGGGCUCUGAGCACUCCCUCCAGCCUGAAGGGCUUCACACCUGCUGCUCACUCGGCUGCACUGACCUUCCCUCCCCUCUCCCUUCCCGUCACUGCACUGCCUCACCUGUCACGCUCGCCGUCACCUCCUCCGGGAAGCCUUCUCUGCCUCUCUCCCCACCCCAGUCUGCCCACCUGGCUCCCCCUGGGCUCCCAGGAUGCCCGCACUUUCCCCAUGGCCAGUCUGUCUGUGUGUCCGUCUCCCUAGCCGACGGCCCCUCCUUCCCGUCUCUGUUCUCAGCUCCCAGCACAUAACUGUGCUCAAUAACUCUUUGUGGAAUGGAUGAAUUUACAGGGCACCUGCAAUGUGCUGCUCACUGUGUCAGGCUCUGAGAACACGGACUGGCCUGGAGAAGGUCAAGGCCAAGCGUCAAGGUGAGUGAGACUCACCAUCCGAGAAUUUAAGGUGCAAAAGAGAACGGGAUUCGUUCCAGAAAGACACAAGCCACAGGCCUAGGGCAGCUCGGAGCAAGGGCUGGCACAUCCUCACAGGGCGAGGGGAUUUGGGAGUCUUCAGAGGGAAGGUGGUCUCUGUGGUAGGUUCAGAAGGAUCCCGAAGGCAGAGAAGGAGAAGGGAGGGGCCCCUCCAAGACUGUUGUGAUCCUCAUUCCAGCUCCGUUUCAGCUGAUCUCCCACCACAGCACUCUAGCCAUUCCAAUCUACUCGGGGAUCCCCCAAGCCCCCCCAAACUGCCUUGCACCCUUCCUCUGGCAGACAUGCCAGGCCCCCCACGGGAGGCAGCCUGGAGGGGUGGAAUGAGAGCGAACCUUCAUCAAAGACGCUCUUGGGUUCGAAUCCAGCUUUCCCACUUUGUAGCCGUGUGACCUAGAGUGGGUCAUUUAACCUUCUGGAGCUUCUGUGAAAUUGGGGCAACAUUACCCCCUUCAAAAGAGUGGGGACAUUGAGUUUAAUAGUGUCACCCCAACAUUGUCUACCUAGAGCAUCAGAAUACGAUCUUAUUUGGAAAUAGGGGCUUUGAAGAUGUAAUUGGCUAAGAUGAGUAACGACUGGUGUGCUUAUAAGAAGAGGAGAGACACACGCACACAGGCAGAAUGCCACAUGGCGAUGAUGGAGGCAGAGACUGGGGUGACGUGUCUACGAGCCAAGGCACACCAAGGAUUGCUGACGACCACCAGAAGCUAUGAGAGGCCGGGGGGGAACCUUCCAGAGCCUUCGGAGGGAGCGUGGCCGUGCCGACACCUUGAUUCCAGACUUCUCGCCUUCGAAGCUGGGAGAGAAUAAAUAUCUGUUGUUUUUCGCCACCGAGGUUGUGGUAAUUUGCUAGGGCAGCCCUAGAAAACUAAUGCAGUGUGUGUAGGAGCCCCGAGAUGGAGUUCAUGUAAAGUGGUUAGCACGGAGCCUGCACACAGUAAAUGCUCCAAACAAGUUAGCCCUCAUUGCCUUUUAUUAAUUCAAUAGACGUGCCUCCUUUCCCUUCCCGCUGCCAGCAGCUGAGACCUCCUGCUCCGCAGAAACAGGAAUGCCGGUGGCUUCCCCGCUGACCCGUGCGCAGCAUCCUUCACAUCCAGCUUCAUCCUAAAUUCCUCCUAUUAUCUUAAAUUCACUCAUGGUCUGGGGACUUGAAAAAUAAGCCACAUGACCGUUUCUUCAUAAAAUCACAGAGUCUCUGGGUCACAAAGAAUCUCAGAGUGACUCAUCUGAUCCUUUUCUGGUUCCUGAACGUCCUCUAAAUCUGCACGCUCACAGAUACCCUCCCUGGACACACACAGAUACCCGCCCUACGUGUGUACACACACACACACACUCAGGAAAACUCGCUUCCCUUCAGCUCGCCCCACUGCAGACUAAUAUUUGUAUAUUGUGAGAGUGGAAUAGACAAACAUCCCAGUAGACCACAGGUCUCUUCUACCCCAGCCCCCGGUGGCUCUCAUCUCUCUUGGAAUCGAUUCCAGACUCUGAGCCUGGGCCCCAAGGCCCUGCAGGGGUUGGCCCCUGACCACAGCUCCCACCACCCAACCCGGGUCCCCCGGCCCUGGAAUGCGCCCACUCCCCUCACCUUUAUGCUGAGCUUCUCUCUGUUCAUUGUUCCCCUGCCCCAUACAUCCUUGGGCUCGUCCCUGCUUCGUUCAGCUGCCAAGUCAAAUGUCACCUCCUCACGCUGCCCUCCCUGACGGCCCCUGACCCAGCCCUCAGCCCCUCCGUGAACCCGGAGUGCUCGUUCCUCUGUCAGGGUGUCUCCUGCCCAUAGAGUGAAGGCUCCGUGAGGACCGGGUCCCUUCUGCCCGCCCACCCCUGGGUUCCCCUCAGCAGAUGCUCAGGAGAUGGGUGUUGAAUAUUUGAAUUGAAUCAGUUCACUGCCCUUUGUUUUUCAAAAAAACGUCCACUUUUAUUUUCUUGUUUAAUUCUCACAAACGCUUUCUGGCAGAAGAAAAGAAAAACGGAACUCAGAAUGGAACUUGGUACAGAAGUCACCAGCCGGCGUCCACCCAGACGACUGUCAAGCAAGGGGACAGACUUGAGGCCAGGUCGUCUGACCCCCCAACACACACGCACAGAUUCAAAUCCGAACUGGGCCGUAGGACCCUAGGCCGGAGGCUGAACCUCACUGGUCCUCAGUGAGCCCGGCUGCUGACCGGGCAAUGGCCUCUGUCCUCUCUGCGGCCCCCGGGCAGCCACAGGACAAUGCUCCUGGGCAUGGUGAUGCUGCUGCCGCCAGCAUCAGGCGGUGCUGACUGCAUCAGGCUCAGUUCUGAGCCCUUUACAGACACACAGACUCACUGAUGACCCCCAUCUAUUCUACGAAGCUGGUGUUGUUCCUAUCCUGUGGGUGACAAGACGGAGGCACAGAGAGAGGCUAACAAAUAUACCCUGGGGGAGCCAGGAUGCAGCCUCCGGUGGCCUGGCCCAGAGCCAUGCCCACGCCAUGUGCGCAUCAUAGGCGGGGAGGCACCGCAGAGCCCCCUCCGGCUGCAGCCCCGCAGGAGUGCCAGGCGGGCAGAACUAUCCCCAUUUUGCAAAGGCAGGAAAUAGGCUCCUGGAGACCGAGCUACGGAUGCUCAGCUGGUGAAUGGCAGAGCCAAGGGUCAAACCCAGGCUUGCUUGGCUCCAAAGCAGGUGCUCAGAACGGCCGGGCUCUUCUGCUGCCUGAAGCCUGGUCGGAAAGGAAGACGCACAAGACGGGGAAGGGGAAGCCGCAGCAGCCCCCAGGAGGCCGGGGAGGAAGGGGAGCUGCUCAGUCGACUCUCAGAAGAGGCAGGUGCCACAGGCCUGGGGUCAGGCAGGGCCAGCACCUUCAGCAAAGGCCUUCUGCCCUCGCCCCACCCACCCCCGGCUCCACCUCCGAGACCCGCUGAGGGAUCGGAACCACUCACUGCCCUAAGACCAGAUGCCCAGGUUGCAAACAGAUCUGAGCGCCAGAACACAGCGGGUAGGGACCGGAUGGAGCCCCUAGCAGAUGCCACGUUCAAAAGAGAAGCACAGGACAACAGUGACAAAUGGGAAUUCAGCACAAAAGCAUCCAAAUGACGGGAGAAAAACAGAGCCAGAUGGGCCCGGCCUCCCCGACCAGCAAGGCGGCCACAGGCCAGCACUGCUCCGGUCGCCAGCUCGCACCCACGGCAAGGGCCCACCUGCAUGCCCCCUACGCAGCCGGCUGUAUGGACGGCUUCCCCUUGGCCUGGAAUGUCCUCUGUUUCACCCCCUCCUCCCCCAGCAGAGCGAACCCUGGCAUAUCUGCUCCCACUCCUGCAAGCCCGCUCGGCCUCCUGGGACCCUCGGCCCACUCUGCCAUUCCUCUAGGUAUGUAAUCCACGUGCAAGCUUAUCCUUUGAUCACGCCCUUCCUGUGGGCACAGGACUUCACAGUUUAUAAGGCAGCUCUUUCACAUCCACUGCCUCAAGGGACCCUGAUAACGGUGAGUUGGGUGCUAUUAUUCCCAUUGGACAUGUGAGGCUCAGAGAAGGCAAGUGACUGGCCUUAGGUCACACAGCUAGAAACCAUGAGACACAGAACUAAAAGUCUGAGGCUUCAUGCUAAGUCAACGGUCUGGCCAGCUGAGAGCAGGUGGCACACAAUAGGUGCUUAACAAGGAAUGGGUGAAUGCAGGAGGUCACUGAGGUUGAUGUAGCUCUUUUUUUUUCUCCCGCCCAAUUUUUUCCUUCUGGGUUCCCAGAGCCUCUCAGGGUCACCUCACCGUCUGAAAUCUCUGCAGGGAAGAAAAGAGGGUAGGGGGACUCCUGCACGCUGCCUUGUCCACUCCGGAGUCAUGUCAGCCACUGGCAGGCCAGCCCUGAUGCCCCCCAGCGUCCCUGGAGGACUUGGCUGCCAUCCGCCCAGGAUAACCUGGCAGUCCCCUCAACCACAGGCCAAGAUCCCCGAGGAUAAGGCCCAGCUGAGUGCACCCUGGCCCCGGGGAGAUGGCGUGACAGCAGGCCAUGUUUUACAAGCUCACAAAUCCCCGAUAAGAGGGGCCGGGCGGCUGGCUCCGGCGAGAUAAGGAGAUGCCCCCUCCCCCUCGCCCGCCUCGCUGAGCACCCACGCCAGGGGAAGGAAGAGGGGCCAGAACUGACAUCUGAUGAGUACCUGCUCCAGCCCCCACGGCCCCAGCUGCCAGACAGACGGACAUUACAAUGACCCACUGGACCGGCUCACUGGCCCCGCUUUGCAGAGGAAAGGAGGCAGGACGAACUGUGGCAUGGGAACUUCCGCAGCCCGGGACCACCCGUCACGGAUGCCGGCGAAUGCUGACCCACCACUUACUGCGGUCACACACACCAAGCACCCUCGCCUCCAACACCCCCUGGGGCGAGUGUGUUCAUGCGUCCAUUUCACAGAUGAGAAACUGAGGUACGGGGAGGCUGGUCAGCGUCUGCCACAGGCUGGGCUCUGGGGCACAGACCAUGAGACGGAGAGCUGUGUGCAGGAGGGUGCUUGGGGUGCCUGGGGACAGCCCUGUGUAGGGGUGCAGGGCGGAGGACAGGCAGAGGGGAGCUGAGCUGUGGGGCCUCAGCCGGUCCCACUGGGGGCCCUGGAGCUGAGACAACCCUUCAAAGUUACCUGAACUGAGGCAAGAGGACAGGGCCCUUGUGUCCCAUCGAGCCGCCACUGGAUGGGGCUGCCUCUGGGGAGGCAUGACCUUGGGGUAGGUGGUGGCCUUCAAGGGCAAUUCCGUAACAGAGGCUCAGCUGUGAGCAGCCUGGGGCGUGAGUGCCCCGGGCCCCGCCCGCAGAGCCAGCUCACGGGAUGACCAGCCCUGCCCAGCCACUGAAUUAUUACCCUAAGCCAUCUCGCUGAAUAAACUCAGGAUCCAAAUUUAGUUCUCUGCUCCUUUCAGAGAGAGAGGGAUUUACAGAGCAAGGGGGAGGCAUGUGCCUCAAAGUUAGGCGACCUUGGCUUCCAGGCCUGGCCUGCCGCCGCCCAGCUCUGGUCCUGCACUUCUGGCUAAAGGCAGGGACCCAGCUGGACCCCCUGUCUCUCUGGGCUCUGACCCUGGCAUUCUCUGUUCCCAUCCUCACCCGGCGGAGCCGAGGGCAGUGCCAGCCCGUCUCUGACUCUUGCAGGGGUCCCCGCCCCUCACCCCUGUAGCAGCCGAGAGCCUGUGGGGGCCACAUGUCCCCAGCACCACAGGCCAGGCCAGCGCGGCAUCAGCUCAGCCAAUCAAAGGGCAAUGACUAAGAGUAAGGUCUGGAGGAGCAGAUGACCGAGGUUCAAAUCCCAGCCCUGACACGUCCCAGCUGUGAGUCCCUGAGUAGGUGACUUGACUUCUCUGUGCCUCCGUUCCCACCUGUAACCGGGAACUGUCAUCGGGUCACCAUCCCCACGGGAACUCAGGAGCUAACGUGGUAAACAUUCAGCACAGUGCCCGGCACGCAGGAAGCCCCCGUACAUCAGCUGUCACCACCACCACUGUCACCCAGCUGAGGAUGCUGCCAGCACGGCAGGGUCUGUCCCCGUCCCCUCCCCUCACGCUGACAACCUCCGAGAAAGUCCAAGUUCCAAAAUGUCAGCGUUAUGAAUUCACCUCCUCUGCUUUCUCUUCCUCUCCGUGUAUUUAUAUCUCAGUUUGUGAGGAUGUGGUGAAAGUCUCCUCUCCCAGCUAGCAACUCAGCCUCUCCCGCCGUGAUCUAAUCAAAGACCAUAUUUUACCCGCGUGCAAGAACCCAAAGGCCAUAUUUCACGGGGGCGAUCUAAUCAGCGCACUGUAUUUCCAGGGUGGGGAUCUAAAUUCAUGGUUAUAUUUCAUGGCUUGAGAUCUCAUCACGAGGCAAUAUUUCACACCGGGGAUCUCAUCCCCGGGGUGGACCGCACGGUUGGGAGAUCAGAGCAGCUCAACGUGACUUUUUCCUCCUCUUUUUUUCCCCCCUUAAUUUAUUCUUAUGUUUCAGGAAAAGUGAAGGCACCCUAGCAAGCCAUGACCUUGCCAACCGUGAGGUCAUUGCUGAUGAAAAGGGGAGACUUUGCUCGAUGGCGAUUCCCCCAGCCCUCUCUCAUGUCGCCAAAACCUCUUGGGAUGUAAGUGGGUUUGCAGGGUUCCUCCCAAAUCUAGGAGGGACCCCCAGAUUCAAUGUCCAAACACAGUUCCUUAUUCAUUCAUUCAUUAAUUCAUUCUACAAGUGUUCUGAGUGCCUGCUUAGUGCCAAGAACAGUGCUUGGGAUCAGCGAGCCAGAGAGGAAUAAGAUAUUACCACCUGUCAUGGACUGAACGUUUGUGGACCCCCAGAAUCUGUAUAUUGCAGCUUUAACCCCCAAUGUAUGCUCUUCGGAAGCAGAGCCUCUGGGAGGGGAUUGGGUUUCAAUGAGGUCAUGUGGGUGGGGCCUCCAUGCUGGGGUUAGUGUCCUUAUCAGAAGAGAAAGAGAGACCAGAGUUCACUCUCUCUCUCUCUCUGCCACGUGGGGACACAGCGAGAAAGUGGCCACAUGCAGGCCAGGCAGAGAGUCCACCUCAGGAACCGAAUCUGCUGGCCGUUUGGUCUUGGACUCGGAGCCUCCAGAACCGGGAGAAAUAACCAUCCAAGGCAGUCUGUUACGGAGCCCAGGCUGGCUGACCCCCCACAGUGGUGACACUGCUGUCCCAGCAGCGGCAGGCAUCCUACAGAGAGUCCCAGGAGGGGUGACAGUUGCUCUAGGACGAGUGCACUGAAGGAGGGCAGGGCUGUGAGCCUGCGGACCCCAGAUCCAGCUGGGAAGACCUCCUGCGCCGGGUGCCGUGGGAAUGGCAACCCAGAGGAGGAGCAGGAGCUGCCCGGUUGGCGUUGGGGGAGGUAGGGAGACAAUGAGAGGAGGGAAGGGAAUUCUGGGUGGCGGGAAAGGCAUAGGCCAAGGCCCUGAGGGUUGAGGGGCCCUGUUCAAUCAGACGGACAGAGAGAGGACCAGCGGCUUGGGAGGAGGCUGGAGCGGGGGACGAACCCAGGCGGCCGGGUCGGUGAUCUCAAUCCUGACGACUCUGCGCUGUGGGACCUGGGGCCGGAGUUGCUUAACUGGUUUGGGCUUCAGUUUCCUCGUCUGUAAAAUGGGAUCAUAAUAGUGCUACUUCUGAGCAUUCUGAACUUUUGCUAGAAACGAAAGGAAGCCACCAGUGGGUCUGGGGAAGGAUCAGAUCGGCGUUAGACCCUGCCAGCUGCUACUUGGAGAACAGAUUCCAGGAGGGGAAAGGAAGCCAGGGGCCCAGCGAGGAUGCUCCUGAGAAAAUAGGGGCGAGAUGCCAGACUCUGCAGCCGAGGAGGGGGCAGCUCCGACUGAUAUUUUGGAGGGAUCCUUACAGGCCUUGGGGAGCGAUGGGCCGUGGCGAGUGAGGGAGAGGGAGGCGGGGAGACUGACUCCCACGUACCUGGCUUUCAGACAGAUGGCAUCCGUCUCAUUCCUCAGUAGUUCUCGGGCAGGGAGGGAGUGAUGCAGAGGGAGAGAGAGACUAAGAUUCAACAAUCCAUUUCCCAAUCACCUAGAAACUCACUGAUGGGGGAAGAUUUCCAAGCCCCCUCCCUCCGAGCCCUCCCUCUAAUAGCUCUGCCUUCUCCGAGCCAAUUUCGAGCAAAUCAGUCUCCCAGGUAGGAACGGAAAGCUACGAGAUAUUCCAACACAAUAAGUGUUUGGGGACCGGGAAUAAAGGCUUCUGGGGAGCUUAGAAAUUCUCAUUUAAAUAUCACAGCUCAUCACUCCCCUCAUUGCCGGUACAUCGCCGCCAUGUCUCCAACAAUCUUCCAAAACGCGUGAUGCUUUGCCAUUUUGCAAAGCACUUUCACCCGCUUUAUUUCGACUGAUUCUCACGACAGCCCCCUGGGAGGCGAGUGGCAGCCUGCCUACCGUACAGGUGGAGAAACUGAGGCUCAGAGACGGGAAACGACUCACCAGCUAUGGAGACACGGUGACGUGGAGACAAUUCUGAUAGAAGCAAAUGCACACUGAGCCCCUGUUCUGUGCCUGGCGCUCUUGGAGGGACUUCAGACAUUUUGACUUAUUCGCCCAUUUUUCAGAGGGGGAAACUGAGGCACGGAGUGGCAAAGUUGCUUGCCCAAGGCCACAUAGCUAGUAAGUGGUAGAGCUGGGAUCCCAACCCAGGAAGUCCCCCCAAAUCUAUCAUUAGCCACCAGGUUGGACAUCCUCAUAAUUAGGAAGGAGGAAUUCAGCUCGGAUCUGCCCAGUGUCCAUGUAACAACACUGUAGCCGUCUGUGGGCCACACACCCGCGCGUUAAAUGCCGGAGAAAUGCCGCUAGGAAUUACAAACCCACAUGGAUCCUGCCGCCUGGAGAAACUCGGCUGGGGACACACUGUGUUUCACUGUUUCUCCUCAGUCACUGACUUUAACAUUUGGAAUCCACUCGAAGCUGGGUCAGGGGAGUAUUUCCUAGAAGGUCACAGAAAUAAGCAGCCAGCUUCCAAACCUGAAUCUCAGAGAUUGACAGAAGGGUGGACUGGGCGUGUCCCUGACAUUCUGCUAGUCCCAGAUGGGUCAGCCCCAGCCAUCAUGCAGUCUGUGGGGACGCCUUGUUCCCUUUCUGCAAAGGUAAGCCAGGGAGCUGGGACCCCCCCAGGCUUUGGAGCUGUACAGAGAUGGGUUCCAAUCUCUCAGAAUUAAGAUGGAGGAUCCGACACAUUGCAUACAAGACAGGACACACAUUCCACGUAAGGCAUAAAAGGUGGCCAAGUGCCACAGGGCGGCUGGGCAUAGGCAAGUGUCCAGCCACCCACCCUCACUGCAGAUAACAUGCAGGUGCAGACCGUCCUUCCACCUGUGGGCAGGACACCAGCAAAACCUGGGCUGGCUUCUAGUAUAGGGUAAGGCUCCUGAUGCCUGAAUCUUCCUAUCUCCGGGGCAGCCUGGGGUGCCUUCCCUGCAGGACAAGAAACCUGUCAGCAUGACCGCCAGUCGCUGGCCUGCAGCCGGGGUACGGUGGGAGCCCAGAGAUGUGUCUCAUUUGAAUCUCGUUCGAGGAAAAUGAUUAAAGCUUCAGAGGGAUUAAUUUACGAGGAAAGAUUAAAGGAACUAAAUCUGUGUAGCUUGGCUUAACCAUGGCUGAGAUUGGGGACUUUGGGGACAUUUCCAAAUAUUUGAAGAGAGUGGCGACCUGGGGAGGGGGCGGGAGAGGAGGGUUUGGCCCAGAAGAAGGAAAUGAGGGGAUGGGGACCAGGAAUGACGACAAAGAUGAAAUUGGAAUAUGCCUCAUCAUCUGUGAAAUAACGGCCGACAUAGGCACUCAUUCUGUGACGCCUGAGGAUGAGGGGCUCAAUGGACAUGAUGUACUUUAAUGCUAUGCUUGAGGACAUCUGCUUUUCAGAUAGGGAAACUGAGGCACAGAGAGGGAAAGUUACCUGCACGAAGUCCAUGGCUGAUGAGGGUCAGAAUGCGAACCCAAGCUGGCCUGCCCCCUAACCAUUGUGCUGAGUUACCUCGUGAUGGCUUGUUCAGCAAAUACCCGCUCCCCUCUCCCUCUCUCUGGGCAGAAAUACCCCCCACCCCAUCAAUCUAGAGCUUGGUCAUGUGACUUUUGGCCAGUGGGAUGUUAGAUGCCAGCAGCAGCUUGCAGUGGGCUUACACAGUGCGACGCAGCCCUCUUGCCCUUCUGUCCUCUCCACGAAAGGAGCUCUCCUCAGGAGCUGCUGUCCCGCAGCUGGGACCCCGGAAUGAAGACACAUGGGGCUGAGCUGAGCUCAGUCCACACCCUGGAGCCUAGCCCAGUUGAACCCACAGCUUAGACAGAACCGCCCGACUGAACCCAGUCCAGAUCAGCCGACCCCCACCCCACUGUAGGUCCAUGGUGGUGAGGACCAAUGAUUGUUUUAAGCCACUAAGUUUGGGGCUGGUUGUCACACAGUGCUAGGUGUUACGUAUCUUGCGAUGUUAGAACGCUGCUCGCGAACUUCCACAACCAGCGCUCAUGCCAGCUCUCCAGGCUCCUCUCUGACCUCACGCCCAUUGGUACCAAAUGCACAAGGUUCUCAUUGUUCCUAGAAUAUUCUUUGACUGCCAUAUAUCUUGUGGACUCGAAUUCACCUUUUGCCUGCUAUAUCGAGGUAUAAUUUACAUAAAAGAAAAUUCAGCGGUUCACAGAUACAGUCUGUUCUUAUGGAGUUUACAACGAAAUCGGGAAGGGCAGCCCCCAAACCUCAGGGCCGGAGGGUGCCUCAAAGUUGGUGGAAUCGAGGCCUUUAUUCUAUCAUCGGUGGGGAAACUGAGUUUCAGAGAGGCAGUGUGUAGUAGAGCUGGGCGGCCAGACUCCUGGCAUAGUGCUCGACCCAAUGCCCCAACAGCAUCCUUCAGACCGCCAGGGGAGGGGACCUCUUCAGCCAGCCAGCAGGUUCUGACAUGGACUGCAAGGCAAGAUCACGCCCCAGCCGCCUCCCUUGGGGGCUCCCCAGGCUGCUUUGAGAAGAGCACAGGGUUCGGUGACUCUGUUAGGAAAAGGGUACUGCCGAGGCGGGGGCAGCCUGGUGGGGGACGGGGCACGGACGCAUCCUAUAAUCCCCAGCAGGUAAAGAAGGGUGAUGCCGUGUCCGCUUGAUAAGGACAGUGUCGGCGGUUCUGUCUCGGGACUCACGUGAUUCAUCAGGGGUACGAGAGAGGAGAGCAUGGGCGCCUGGGGCGUGGAUCAAGUGGAUGGACACAGAGGUGGAAUCCACAGGAAAUUUCUGCAGGUGGAAAGGCCACCAACCCCGUUGGGCACGUUGGCCCCGUUCCCACCUAUUUGUAAUGAGGAACUCCCUCCCAGGCUGUAACGGACAGGGGACAGGCAGCUUGGUGGGGCAAUGAGAGGAUGGAAUUCAGAACUGUGUCUCAUGUUUCACUCAUUCAUUCAUUCAUGCAUGCAUUCACUCAUUGAACAGCGAUGACCGGGACGGACACAGUGUCUUUUUUCUCAUGACACUCACGAGUCACUUAGUUACACCCAUGGCAGCUGCUCUGUGGAAGACUGAGGUUCUGUGACCACUCGCAGCAAGUAGACGGGACCCAGGCCAGGGGUCAGGAACAACAGGAAGAAGUUACCCUCGAGAGAUGCUUCCUGGAAACCAUGGUGGGCCUUUUCACUUUCUGGUGGAAAGGAAGCGUGGCCUGCCGCAUGCUCAGGGCUUUGCCUACAUAAAUAAAGGGUUCAGACCUGAUUUAAAGGAUAACGAAGGGCGUGCCUGGCAUAGGGCAGACAGCCACAGAUCUGCAUCUCAUCCAGCUCUGGAACUUUCUGGCUGGGAAAAUGUGCGCAAGUUUCUUCUCUGAAUCCACUUUCCUUAUUUAUAGCUGAGCUCACCAGACACGAAAUGAAGGUAAGCCCCCUCCCGCUCAGUGUCCGUUCUAAGGACAGCAGUGGAUUCGAGGUGGGAGCGUGGGCUUAAGAAAGGCCCCCAACUGCCCCGGAUGCUGCCUGGACCACACUGCCCCCUCGGGUAGCCCAAAGAUGCUGCAGGCCAGUCACGCCCCUAAGAGCUGGAACAAAGGUCAGCACCUUCAGAAGUCUCCCCCACCCCCCGCCACCAACCCUGCAAACACUUGGAGGACAUUCAAGAGACAGCGAGCUGACAUCUUGUCCCAACGGGGCAGAGGGGCACCUUUCCGGGUCUGGCAGGGACUCUCCACCAGGAGCAGGGAGGGGCUUGGGAUCAAGGGCCGGUCACUGGCCGGGCCCUGCUCUCAAGACACUCACCCAUUAUCUCAUCUAGUCCGCACCACAAUCUAAAGGCCCUUCUUAUUAUCGGCACGCACAGAGUUUGGGCUGCUCAAGCCCGAAGACCCUGGGCCAAAACCGCGUUUGGGUCCAUGCUUGCGGUCCUCUAACUAAAUGCACUGUCACAUCGAUGUCACAGCCGCGGUUAGACAAGAAGCUGAGCGGGGCUGUGGCUCCCGUCUAUUUGGCGUUGGGCAGAGCAGUGCACAACUCACCAUGACGUGGAGGAUGUGGCUUCAGAAAUACCGGGCAGGUGGUACAUGGUGCCAGACAACCCCCCUCAAUAACUGAGGGCAUCCCAGCUCCUGCAGGCAUCAAGCUCUGAGCCGGGGACCAGGAGGAGGGGACGACAGGAGGAAUGCCCCUUCUCUUCCCUGGGGAGCAGCUGCGGCUGGCAGAGGGGAGCGCUGAGCCUCUGGUGACUGCAGGAAUCACAGGUGGGGAAAUGGAGGCCCAGAGGGCAGGGGUCUGCACAGGUCCCACAGGGCAGGCGCUUCAACUGGGGCCCCAGCUCCUGGUCAUCUCAACACCCCCAACUCCCAAAAGACAGCCUAGAAGGCUCUGGGGCAGACAGGAGUCGGAGAGGAAACCAUCAGCCUCCUGUGCCCUCACCCAGCCUCUGCACCUUCCAGACCCCUUCUCAGCUGCACCUUGGACUUUCCACACUGGGUUUUACCGAGGGAUGCUGUCUGGGGCCUGCCUGUUUGUCUUUCCAGACCUCAGCACCCCCAAUGGUGGAAUGAGGUGAUACCUCCCCGUAUGGAGUCAGGGGGACUCAACAACCCAAUGUGGCAGGUACCACGACUGUCGUAGCUCCCACGUGCCAGAAAUGUCCCAUUCAUUCAUUCAUUCUUCAACAAAUAUUUACGGAGCGUGCAUGGGAUGCCAGGCUCUGCUCUGGAUGCUAAGGUCACAGUCCUCACCCCUAUGGAGUUUAUGGUCUAGAGACCACAACCAAGGAAACAUCGAAACAUAUUAAUAUAUGGUGUAUAUGGUACCAUAAGUUUGUAUUUGUCACACAAUGGGAUAGUAGGAAGUGAUAAAUACAUUAAGAAAACUGAGCAGAAAGGGGACAGAGUGAAAGGUCAGCAAAGACCCCACUGGGACAGCGACAUCAGAGGAGAGACACCAAGGAGGCGAGGAAGUGAGGGACGUGGAUACCAGGGGAGGGGAGAGGAGAAACCCAAGGCCCCGAGCCUGCGGUGUGCCUGGAGCUUCCUGGAACCAAAGAAGUCGGGACAGCUAAGGCAGGGUGAGUUACUCAUAAUUAUUAUUAUUACUUUUGCUAUUGAUUGUAAUUUAUUAUUAUUCCUCAAUGUAAUACAUGACCUGCGCCUAAAAGAUGGGGUCCGAGCUUCCAAAUUCAGGCAAGCCUUAGGCGGUUCCAGCUUCCCUGGGGACCCUCUCCCCCAGGAUGCUCCUCCUCACCAGCUGCCGCUUCCCUGGGUCGAGCAGCAGCCCCACCCCAGCCCAGGACAGGGGACCGACUCAUUCAUCUGGGCUAGCAGACAUGGUGCCUGGGGCCCACGAAAACGUUCUAAUUUUGAUUCCUUUUACGUCAGGGGGAACACAAGAACGUAAUAAUAAUGAAUAUAUAACCAUGAAUCCAGCUGGGAUUGUAUUUGCCUUUAUACCAAUGAGAUCAUAAAUUAUACAUUUUAAUACUUUUAUUUGAGGAAGAGGCCCACGGAGGCGACAGUGCCAGGCUGCGAGAGUCUCACUGCCGCUGCUCUGGGGGAGGGGGGCGGGCGUGGAAAUUUGCUCCUUGCUUUGGUCGCCCCCAGGCUGCCCCUUGGCCCCUCCAGGACCUCGGGCCGGGAAGGCUGGAGCUCAAACCAGCUACCUGUUGAGCUGCCAGGAGCCUCUGCCACCUGUCCGGCCCCCUGACAGAUGGAGCCCCCGCUCAGCUCAGGCUCAGACAGGAACCGGUGACCGAUGGCCGGCUGCUCCCUGUCCCCUCUCCCACGAGCCACAUCUCCCGGACGGCUGCUGCCUCCACUUCUUGCAGGAGGAAGGGCGGCAAUGAAGCAUGAACGUUUGGGCGAAGAUAAAGGAAAAACUGCCCAUCUGGGAAGAUGCUGGAAUGCUGGCUACGAGGAUUUGGGGAACAUGUGGGAUUCCCUCCCUGGAGCGCCUCGGGGGUCUCUGGUGACACAAGGGAACCAGAGAGGUUUCGAUCGAGGACCUCAGCAGCACAGACCCCAGGGCCUGGGCAUUUCUGCAUUCCCCGCAGGAACACGGUGGUGAGAGGGACACACGAAGCCACGGAACGAACACGGCUGAACUCCCCGGAGCACCCAGGUAAAUUCUGCCUCCAAUGAAGCUGAUUUAAAAAAAUAAGGAACAUGAAUAAACCCAAGGUGUCUCAAGGUGUCUUGUGGAUCAAGUCACACACAAACCUUCAAAUUCAGGCAGAUUUUCUUUCUUU